AUUGAACGCUGGCGGCAGGCCUAACACAUGCAAGUCGAGCGAGCGGCGGACGGGUGAGUAAUGUAUGGGGACUGCCCGAUAGAGGGGGAUAACUACUGGAAACGGUAGCUAAUACCGCAUCCUAUCGGAUAACCCAUAUGGGAUUAGCUAUUAUGUGAGGGAAUGGCUCACCUAGGCGAGGCUCCCUGGCUGGUCUGAGAGGAUGCUCAGCCACCCUUGGACUGAGACACGGCCCAUACUCCUACGGAGGCAGCAGUGGAGAAUAUUGCACAAUGUGCGCAGGCCUGAUGCAGCCAUGCCGCGUGUAUGAAGAGGGCCCUAGGGUUGUAAAGUACUUUCAGUCGGGAGGCGUUACCGACAGAAGAAGCACCGGCUAACUCCGUGCCAGCAGCCGCGGUAAUUC
rnacentral:rRNA from 1 species